rnacentral:rRNA from 1 species
UAAGUGACGCUGGCGGCGUGCUUACACAUGCAAGUCGAACGGUGAACACGGAGCUUGCUCUGUGGGAUCAGUGGCGAACGGGUGAGUAACACGUGAGCAACCUGCCCCUGACUCUGGGAUAAGCGCUGGAAACGGCGUCUAAUACUGGAUAUGUGACGUGACCGCAUGGUCUGCGUUUGGAAAGAUUUUUCGGUUGGGGAUGGGCUCGCGGCCUAUCAGCUUGUUGGUGAGGUAAUGGCUCACCAAGGCGUCGACGGGUAGCCGGCCUGAGAGGGUGACCGGCCACACUGGGACUGAGACACGGCCCAGACUCCUACGGGAGGCAGCAGUGGGGAAUAUUGCACAAUGGGCGGAAGCCUGAUGCAGCAACGCCGCGUGAGGGAUGACGGCCUUCGGGUUGUAAACCUCUUUUAGCAGGGAAGAAGCGAAAGUGACGGUACCUGCAGAAAAAGCGCCGGCUAACUACGUGCCAGCAGCCGCGGUAAUACGUAGGGCGCAAGCGUUAUCCGGAAUUAUUGGGCGUAAAGAGCUCGUAGGCGGUUUGUCGCGUCUGCUGUGAAAUCCCGAGGCUCAACCUCGGGCCUGCAGUGGGUACGGGCAGACUAGAGUGCGGUAGGGGAGAUUGGAAUUCCUGGUGUAGCGGUGGAAUGCGCAGAUAUCAGGAGGAACACCGAUGGCGAAGGCAGAUCUCUGGGCCGUAACUGACGCUGAGGAGCGAAA